rnacentral:tRNA from 1 species
AGAGCUCAGUGGUAGAGCAUGUGCUUAGCGUGCACAAGGCCCUGGGUUCAAUCCCCAGU